UUUUGAGAUGGAGUUUUGCUCUUUGUCACCCAGGCUGGAGUGCAAUGGCACGAUCUCGGCUCACUGCAACCUCUGCCUCCCGGGUUCAAGCGAUUCUCCUGCCUCAGCUUCCUGAGUAGUUGAGAUUACAGGCACCCGCCACCACGCCCAGCUAAUUUUUGUAUUUUAGUAGAGACGGGGUUUCACCAUGUUGGCCAGGCUGGUCUCGAACUCCUGACCUCAAGAGAUCCUGCCCACCUCCACCUCCCAAAGUGCUGGGAUUACAGGCGUGAGCCACUGCGCCUGGCCAAGGCAUCAUCUGUUUAACUGUGACUUCAGAGUUGUGGUGUCUUCUCACAGUUUCCAUUCAAAUGGCUUGGAGCAAGCUGCUUGACACUGUCAGUUCCCUGGAUAAAGCUCCUAACAGAAACAUUCUCUUUUCACAUUGAAUUGGGUUCCAAGUCUCCGUGGAACAAGAUUCCCAGAAAAUAUCUCAUACUUUUUUGUUCUUUUUACCAUAAAAGUUCCCUAUAUCAGUGCUUAUAAACAAGAGGAUGCAUCUUCAAGAGAACAGUCUAUCAGCCCCUAACCCGAAAGAUUAGUAAAUGCUUGAUAUAUGUAUGGAAAGGUCAAUCAAUCACAGAAAUAUUGGUUUAUGAUUGCUUAUUUCUCUUAUUAGUGUUUGUGCAUCAUACAUUGCUAUUAGUUAAGAUGGGAAAUUUGAAUUCCUAAGCAGAGUAACUUGUACUAUUCCAGGGUCAGUCCCAGACAUCGUAUUUUUACUCUGGAUUUCCCCACAAAUUCUCUACUCCUAAAAUCCAGCUUUGGAUAUAUAAUGCUUUCUUAGAAUAUCAUACCCUAUGAAAUAAAUUAAGGGCUCCAAAUCAGCAUCCUUCUAACUGCCGAGAAAAACAAGGCUGGGAACAAGAAUUGUUCACCAAAGACAAAGUGCCCAUUUUUCAGCACAGAUAGUUUUAUGAAGAGAUUUUCCAGAAGGAGAAAGGAAAUGGUCAGUUGGGUGGCCGGUGGGUUAGUGAUGUUGGAACUUGUGAAAGGAUCGAAGCUCAGCACUUGGCUGAAACCUUGGGUAGCGUGGCAGCCUCUCCAGGCUGUUUUACAAUCUGUUUUAAGUUCUUGGCAAUCACUUUCUCUUUUUCCAUUAUUCAGAGUUUUGGUCUAUAAAUCAUAAUAAAAAUGAAUCAUUAAAUUUGCCUCAAUUGAGCUAGUUUUAUUUACUGUUACAUUUCAGGGAACUUGCUAAUCUGGAGAUUGAUGGGCCUGGAUACAGGGGAAAGUAUGCAAGUGUGAGAAGGGGGACAUGGGAAGGCUGGGUAGUCAGCAACAGCAGUUGGGAGGGGGGUGGGUCAUGGUGACAACUCCACAAAGCGCACCCUGAGCUAAGUGUUCUGAGAAGAGGAAUGUGUUCUCUAGAUGGAGGGUCUCAGAGCACUUGAGUGCGAGAGAACAUUCAGCCUUAAAGGUGAAGCUUAUGUCCUGAACAGGGUGGGAGUGGAUAAUGAUCAAGCUGAGGCCACGGAGGUGUGGAGGGCCUGUGCACACACUGCAUGUUGUGGGUGAAAUGUGUGCAAAACACAGAGUGGGUGUGUGCAAGUGUAUGUGACAGAACAAUCAAGCUGUGAAGGUAAGAGCAAAGGUGAAAUAGGGCUGUAAAGAAAGAGAAAUGAAAAGAAGCACACAACUUUACCUAAAGAAGAAAGAAGGGAUAGAGGGAAGGUAAACACUUUGCAGAUGGGAGAAAACAAGGUGCCAAGUGCAGAAGUCAGGAACAAUAAAGACAGCACCAUUUCGGAGCUGAUAGAAUUGUGAUACCAUGUGAGACGGGCGUAUUAAUAUGUAUUCCAUAAACUGCGCAGCUCUGCACCGCUCUGUUUUGCUCUGACCGCAGUACCAGCCUCAGGCACCACAACACAAUUUGGAAACAAUGUGACGGAAAUGUUUAAUCUGCUCGGCCCAUCUGUGCUGCGUAUUUCUCCAGAUCUCCCUGAGAGAGGCGCCUUGAAUCUCCACAUUGCCUUUAAUAUUCUCCUAAAUCACCUCCCUACUGCACUUCAAGGGCCAUUGCUACAAUAUCACAGGUUCAUCUAAAGUGCAAUGGGGAGGGGGUGUUGGGGGAGGCGCAGGCCGGGAGAUUUUUUAUUUUAAAAUAAUUUCCAGAGAUCGUCUUUUCUGCUUCCUUUAAAAAAAAAGAAGAAAAGUUAUUCUACUGUUGCCUUAAGGUUAUUGAGGUUGUUUGGUGCAAAACAGGGUAGGAUAGAGUGGAAUCAUUCUCCAAAGAAUUAUUUUUAUUAAUCUCGAUUCUCUCAAAUGGACAUGGGAGGGUGAGCAGAUGCUCGUUCUCUCUUAUCUCUUUUCCUUGCACCUUGCUAGAAAGCACACAUAGGGUAUGCUAGGGUGAUGUGUUCAUUUGGGGUUGGAGCCUCUCUCCUUUCCACUCUUGGCAUCAGGUACCAGCUUGUUAGUUCCCAGGGCCAACCCUGUCUCUGCUCCACUCUAAACAAAGCCAUCUCAUUCAGGACAAGUAUACAUUUAGUCUCUGGUCAACAUGCCCUCAUUAGGAGAGGACUCUGUCUAUAUUUUUAAUUUUAGCUUAAAACCUUAGAUUUUCUCUCCUUAAGUAGAGAUGUUGGGUGUCAGAUUUCCACUGCCUUUCCCCACUUGAUUGCGCCAGAUUCAGCAAUUUGGGUCUAGCUGGGGUGGGUUUUGGAGAAAGAGGGAUGACAAGUCACCAUGUUCCAGACCCUAGACAAAUGGAAGAGAGUUGCACAUCACCAAGAAAAUUAGGAUUCCUUUUGCUUUGUGAAUUAAAGAAAUGAAUAAUUUAAUCCUCAAGAUUGUUCCGGCGAGGGAAAAGCAACGUCCCAGUUGCGGAGCCCUACAGCCUGUCGGUGUGUUACAUCAUCUGCACACAUAGGCGUUUCCAUGACAACCGCUUAUAGCUUCAUUUCCUGGAUCCCUCUAGGGGGUGUCACAGCCAGAUCCACCUGCUUUUCACCCUACCCUCGGUGGGGUCAUGUCCGUUCCAUUUUCAUUAUUUAUUUCCUAUAAAUCGGGACCUUGCUGAACAUAAUUCUGCAGACAAGGAGGUGGAUGGGACAGCCAAUGUGAACAAGGAGAUAGAUGGUGGGUGCGUAUAAGAUAGAUGCUAUGCGCUUAUGAAAAAGAGCAGUAUGUCUGCAUGUGAACAUCCACAAAGUAGAGCGAGCAAGCGUGUACACGACAACGGGUAUUUAUAGGUGGAAAAAGGUGCAAGGAAGAUUAUGUGGGAACAGGCACAGAGAGUCUGAAACGGUUUGCUCUUUUCCCUACCCUCCUGGAAUCCACGUCCAAGUUCUGCCUAAGAUGUCCCACACUUGCUGUGGCUCCUGUGAACCUCGCAAGCCUUUCCAUGACAACAGACGGGGAUUUCACAGCCAGAAGACUUAGGAGGUCAACAGUUGAAAAGCAAGAUUUAGAGAGAUCUUUAAACAAUCACACUAACCUCCCUCCCCUUCCAAAGACAGAAGGAGGAAAACAUUUAAAGACGCAGCAGGAAAAAAAAAAAAAAAAAGAGCCUUUCUAAAAAUGCAAGUUUAAAAUGUUCAUGCUUUUGUAUCAGCCUAGUUGCACCUUAGAAUCUGCCAUUUCAUAAAUAAAAUACCGAUGGCAUAGAGUAUAAUUUGGUGACAGCUACCCCAGGACAUAUCUAGAUGCACUUCUGUUAUUUUAAUUAAAUACUGCAUUAUGGUUUGUGACAACUACAUAGCUAUAGCGUAAAUGAAUUCAGAAUUAAAGUGUUACUUAGGCAUCCAGUAAUUUUUGUUUCAUUCCUUAGUUUUACAAAGCAAAUAGCUAUAAAAUCAAGAUGUUUGUUCAUUUACAGAUGGAGCAGGAUUGUCGUCGCUGUUUUUUUCCUCCUUAAUCCUCAUCCACAAAAAGAAGACACAGUUCAGAGUCUGGCUCCCAACACUCUUAGCUUAUGAGCCACAUCACAAAGAAAAACACAUCCUCUUGACUAUAAUGUGAAAUGCUGAAUAUUAAUUGCUGGUAUUAUGCCUAUCUUUCUAGCUGGGUUCUGUCUUUUAACAAUUAUUCGGAUGGGCUACAGCCUUGCACUGCCAGGAGAUUCUUCUCCUUUGUUUAAUAGUUAGAAACCAAUUUUAUUAAAAAACGGUAAAGUUCACAAUGCUCCAUGUAAGUUCUUAGUAUUUGGAACUCUCCCCAAAUACAGAAUAUUAUCAGGAACAGAGAAACUGCAGACUCUCUUUGCUAAAUAUGAUGAACAUUUCUGCAUUUAAAAGAAAAAAAUAUUUUUCAUUUUAGCAAUAUUAAUGUUUCCUUAAUGAAACUGGAGAGGGUGUUACAAUUUGAUAUACUUGGUUAGUUUCAUUGUCACUUCACUAGCAAAUCAUGAGAAAGGUUCAGAAUAUUCUCAUCUAUCAGGUACAGAUUUUCACUCAAAAUUAAUAUGUAGAGUAAAAGGAUUUUUGUUCAAAUCUGAGGAUUUAACUGUAUCUUUAACGUUUCAUAUGUCAAGAUGAAAGUUUUUAAAUAACUAGUUUUCUGAAACCAUUUCUAUUAUUUCUAAUUUGAGAAUCAAUAUGAUCUUUUUAUUAGCCUUAAAUACCAUACAUCUGGGAAUGUCUGCAAAUUUAAGCUUUUCUGUGUUCUAAUCAAUUACCUUCAGUCUUGCAUAACUAAUCCUAUAAUCUCCAUAGAAGUUACUGCCCUGUAUGUUAGCAAUGAGGUUAUACUUUGUUUCAAUAUUUUGCUAGUUUGGUUGGAGAGCUGAAUCACGCAAUACCAAGAAAUGGUGGCAGAAGAGGUUUGGGGAGGCUGAGUUUCUUUUGAGAAAAUAAUUAUACUGAAACAAAGCUUUUGUGACUCCUUUUAAAUAGGGCAUCUCACCAAAAUGUCAUCCAGCCUCUUUGGCAGAUUAGUGGGGAGUUUAUUACUAAAUCUCUGUCUAAUAAAUGUGCAGUUGACUCUGGAGGAGCUGCUUGUUAUAAUACUGGCGGUGGGAAAUGGAGGGAAUGUCACAGUUAAAGACACAAAUUUUCCCCAUAAUAUAUUCAAAUGGAAACCUCUGAAUCCAAUACUACAUGGGCAUAUCUAAUAAAUUCACAAUAUUUCAGUUUCCGCAGCCUUCACCGGUUAGUUUUAAAGAUUUAUGUGGUAAAAAAUUACUCAGUGAUGAAUAUGGUUUAUUCUGUGCAGUAUUGGAGGUAUAAGGAAUUAAACUACCAUCUUUAACAGUGAAUUUAUUAUUACCUCUGUCAAAAGACGAAGACGUUAACAGCAUUUGUUAUAAAUUCACUGCAAAAUAAAUGGCUGGAAUUUUUUA